rnacentral:tRNA from 15 species
GGAGAAUUAGCUCAGCUGGGAGAGCAUCUGCCUUACAAGCAGAGGGUCGGCGGUUCGAACCCGUCAUUCUCCAUCA